AUACGUAGGGGGCGAGCGUUGCCCGGAAUGAUUGGGCGUAAAGGGCGCGUAGGCGGCCCGGUAAGUCUGGAGUGAAAGUCCUGUUUUUAAGAUGGGAAUUGCUUUGGAUACUGUCGGGCUUGAGUGCAGGAGAGGUAAGUGGAAUUCCCAGUGUAGCGGUGAAAUGCGUAGAGAUUGGGAGGAACACCAGUGGCGAAGGCGACUUACUGGACUGUAACUGACGCUGAGGCGCGAAAGUGUGGGGAGCAAACAGGAUUAGAUACCCUGGUAGUCCACACUGUAAACGAUGAAUGCUAGGUGUAGGGGGUAUCGACCCCUUCUGUGCCGCAGUCAACACAAUAAGCAUUCCGCCUGGGGAGUACGGCCGCAAGGUUGAAACUCAAAGGAAUUGACGGGG
rnacentral:rRNA from 1 species